GGCAAGAUUACAUUUUUAAAACUACAACCACCACCAAAAAACCAGAACAGAAAACUGAACAGAGAGUCAUAAGCUCUACAUUGCUAGGCUAGUUAAGAAACCACAAAAUAAAACAUAACCACAAACACAAAAGUAGGUAUGUGCUGUAUUAAAACAAACCUGUAUGAAUUAUAUUGGGCCUAUGUAGUAAGGAAAGUUUUUCAAAGUUAAUACUUAUCCUGGAAAGUUUCAUUGCUUACUGGUAUUUAAAAACCUACUUAAUAUUCAAAUGAAGUUUAGUAUGUCAUCCAAGACAAGUGCUCUAAUCUUUUUUUUUUCCAGGGGAGAGUGGGAACGCAGUCCCCCAUUACCACAAAUUAUGCAGUCAAAUUUCCCACAUUUGGGGGAAUUGCAGGGGUCAGCACAUCCAGAGUACAGUGGAUAAGCCUUGCCCUGGGAAAACCACCUUCCUGAUCACGGUAUCUCCCCUGUCAGGCAUAAAACUACUAAACAGGCUGUGCUGUGAAAAAGAGAGGAGAAUGAAGAGGUAAUACUGAACCCCAAUCUCAGGUGUGAAGUUCAUUUUAUAUUCCCGAGAAACGAAAAGUGACCCAAUUUACCAAGUUUUUAUCACCCUAUUUUCAAACAGAAAAGUUUAAAAAAAAAAAACAAGAAUGAAAAGGAGAGUGAAUCAGUUUCCUCCCUAAUUCUG